rnacentral:lncRNA from 1 species
GUUGUAAUUUAUUGGUUUGAAAUAAAAGUAGGGGCAGUGUGUAUUGAAUGAAUUUUGCCUUCAAACAGCAAAUGCAAUAGAAGGAAUCCACAUCCAUUUGCUUUUAGCUGUAAGUUAAUUGAGUGCCAUAUUGCAUUGAUUGAUACAUGAAAUUUAAAUGUGAAAUCUCAAUCCACUUGUUUUAAUAUUUCACCUAGUGGUUGAUAGACUUAUUGAACUAUUUUAGCUAUAUAUUCAUGUCAUUUAUCACUGAGAUCAUGACUUAAAGACAUGCAAGUGUUAUUCACUCCCAUCAUUGUUGUGACGACCACGUCCCACUUCAAAAGCCUAUAUAGGUAUCUUGGGUAUACAAGUAGGAGCUGUGAACCCAAUUAUCAACUCGGCUAGCCUUUUUAUUGUGAUACUAUGGUUACUAUUUUGGCAUAGGUUGGGGUCACAGGCACAAAGAUAGUGGGGAAAAGUUUCCUACGUAUUACGUCUCUCAGACCCUAUAGAAAGCGAAGCUUGUGAACUAGAUACAAUGUUUUGUGUCAUUUACCAUUCAUAGACCAUCACAGUUCCUUUGUAGAUAAAAGAUUUUCUUGAAAACUAAAAUCAGAAAACCGACAAAAUUCUGGGGACAAUACAUUGUCGUCCCGCUGUUCAAACGCCUCCCUCCCACAUGAUCAGAGCCAAAGAGAUUAAUCGUACAAUUAUACGGUCAUUUGGGACAUAAAAUGAGUGUUGUACUUUCAUGCACAGCUAGUUCUGCAGAUCCAAAUGCAUGAUCUCUAGAAUUAGUUAGAGUACUGAGAAUAAGCCCAUGAAUUGUAAUUCUCUAGCACAUCCCCCUUUAGUCUGCCAUUACUGACAAGGUACAAUUCCAACUAUACCCUUAUUUAUUUGGAAGACAUUAAUACCUUAAGAGUCCAUUUGGAUAAGCGUGGAAUUUAACAAACAUAUUUGAUAUAGUUAUACAAGGAGAAUAGUUCAAAUUUAGAGAUGAUAGUUCAUAUAUGAAUUUGAAAUGACCAUUUAAGAAUAGUGAUUUGAAAUUCUUUGUACUAAAGAUUUAUAACUCUACAAAAAAUACGUCUAUUCUAUUAUGAUAUUAACCUAUACCAAUACGUUACCUGACACUGCGAUUUAAAACUCUGUUGUGCACAAAUAUGUCAUUUACGUGGAUUGUGACUGACUUGUUGCGAGUUUUUGGCCACCUUUCCUGGGAUGAGAAAGACUUAGGUGGUGGCUGACCUGACUUUUAAUUGCCUACUAACUACUUUGAUUAUCAGAAGGUUGCUUCAGAUAAUCAGCAUGACCUGGCUACUCAAAUUGCUUAAAUUCUGCUUUCAAAAAUGAUUUGCCUAACACAUCAUGACAGCAUUUUUUGAGUUUAGUUGAAUUUUCUCCCAAAGGCUUUGACUCUAUGCAAAUGAGUUUGGCUUUGUUUGAUAUAGCUUUAUUUUGAAAUUUUUAUCUGAUUUGAUUUUUAGUUUUUGUUUUUAGUGAAUUUUAUUAAUCGUUUAAUUAAAAUUUUAAACUUUUUUUAUUCUUCUUGUUGAGAAGUCCGAAAAUGUAAAAAGUUUUAUUUAAUUUGAAAAAAAAAAAAUUAAAACUGGGAAAAUUACACAAUAAAACCCAUAAUUUUGACAUUUUCCAAAAUCAAAUCCUAAAUUUUGAGCCUUUCCAAAAUCAAAUCCUAAGUUUUACCCCAUUUGUUCGUCUCCAUUACCUAAUUCUCACAUAAGGUGGACAAUUUUGGCAAUUUUCCACCUUUGUUUUCCACUUGGGAACUUCUGAAUGCACACACUUUCUACCUCAAUAGACACCUCGUAUACGAAAUAAUUAAGGCUUUCAAUUUUUUUCUCAUUACACCGUUCUUUACGUAAUAAUUCUAAGAUAUUUUUAUCCUAACAAGUCCUUUUCUCAUUUCUGGUACGGCAUUCGCUCGACCUCAAUGAUCUUUAUGGAUGAAUACAAAAUGGAAAGGGAAAACUAGAUCGUUACGACAUUACCUAAUCAGCCUACUUCUUAAUAAAGUGUGGAAAUCAUGCAUGAAUUAUGAUUAGUUAAUACCAACUAGUGUUGAUUACCUCACUUGUCCGGGUUGUCCCUUUAUUGUCAAAACAAAUCGAAUGAUGAUUACUACUAACUUAAUCAAGAUUAAAAUAUUAUGAUUCAAACACCAACCUUUUUAGCAGAAUUGGGUUGAGCCUAAGACCCACAAGAAAUAGUACGAAUUUUGAAAGGCUUGUUGGUGGCGGUAGUGGCUAGGCUUUUGAUUUUCUUAGGUUGAGUUUGGAUCUUGAAUUUGGUUAGAGAAAAAAAUAUAAAAAAAUUAGACGAUCCAAUCGUUCAAGAUUAUUAAAUUAACUAUCUUUUCUAUUUUAUUUUUUUUUCUUUCACUAAAUUCUUAAUCCAAACGUAACCUUAACGAACAUAACACCUCCGGAUAAUAUGAAAGAGCAAGGGGAAGAUGUAAAGGAGUUUGCCUUUAUUUUGGGAUAAAUUUCAUUGUUAA